rnacentral:rRNA from 1 species
AUGGCUGUCGUCAGCUCGUGCCGUGAGGUGUUGGGUUAAGUCCCGCAACGAGCGCAACCCCUAUGUUUAGUUGCCAGCACGUCAAGGUGGGGACUCUAAACAGACUGCCUGCGCAAGCAGAGAGGAAGGCGGGGACGACGUCAAGUCAUCAUGGCCCUUACGUCCGGGGCUACACACGUGCUACAAUGGAUGGUACAGCGGGCAGCUACACAGCAAUGUGGUGCCAAUCUCGAAAAGCCAUUCACAGUUCGGAUCGGGGUCUGCAACUCGACCCCGUGAAGUUGGAUUCGCUAGUAAUCGCGUAUCAGCAAUGACGCGGUGAAUACGUUCCCGGGCCUUGUACACACCGCCCGU